UUCAAUGGCUCGGUCAGGUUAC
rnacentral:miRNA from 1 species